rnacentral:rRNA from 1 species
GGGUUGUGAGGUUAAGCGACUAAGCGUACACGGUGGAUGCCCUGGCAGUCAGAGGCGAUGAAGGGCGUGCUAAUCUGCGAUAAGCGCCGGUAAGGUGAUAUGAACCGCAAUAACCGGCGAUACCCGAAUGGGGAAACCCAGUGUGAUUCGUCACACUAUCAUGCAGUGAAUACAUAGCUGUAUGAGGCGAACCGGGGGAACUGAAACAUCUAAGUACCC